rnacentral:rRNA from 1 species
UACGUAGGGGGCGAGCGUUGUCCGGAUUUAUUGGGCGUAAAGGGCUCGUAGGCGGCUCAGUAAGUCGGGUGUGAAACCUCCAGGCUCAACCUGGAGACGCCACUCGAUACUGCUGUGGCUAGAGUCCGGUAGGGGAGCAUGGAAUUCCUGGUGUAGCGGUGAAAUGCGCAGAUAUCAGGAGGAACACCGGUGGCGAAGGCGGGUCUCUGGGCCGAUACUGACGCUGAGGAGCGAAAGCGUGGGGAGCGAACAGG